GGGUUUUUUUUUUUGAAGAUACAUUCAAUUAUUCUAGAAAACAUAUGUUUUACGUAAAAUUAGUAGAGCACCGGUGUAAAUGAAGGUUGAAUUAGAACCUUUGGUAGAUGAAGUUAAGGGUACAUUGAGGAUACAUUGUUUGCGUGUUAUUGCCAUUGAUGAUUAUGGGUUUACGCAGUUGGGUAGUGUGUACGCACAUUUGUUUAGAGAAAACAAAUAGUCUAUAAUUUUAGAUUCCAACCCCUUCUUCGGAUGAUUAACAUAAGUG
rnacentral:lncRNA from 1 species